rnacentral:rRNA from 1 species
GAUGAACGCUGGCGGCGUGCUUAACACAUGCAAGUCGAACGAGAAGUGCAGACGGAAACAUUCGGGCGGACGGCUCUCUUUCGAGUGUCGGCCGGGUGAGUAACUCGCGGGUAACCUGCCUCAUACAGGGCGAUAACAGUUGGCAACGACUGUUAAUACCGCCUAAGAAUACAGCCCCGCAUGGUUCGGGGGUUAAAACUGGGUUGGCAUGGGAUGGGCCCGCGUUGGAUUAGCUAGUUGGCGGGGUAACGGCCCACCAAGGCGACGAUCGAUAGCUGAUCGGAGAGGAUGACCAGCCACAUUGGGACUGAGACACGGCCCAGACUCCUACGGGAGGCAGCAGUGGGGAAUAUUGGACAAUGGGCGAAAGCCUGAUCCAGCAAUGCCGCGUGAGUGAUGAAGGCCUUAGGGUUGUAAAGCUCUAUUACCAGGGAUGAAAAUGACAGUACCGGGAGAAUAAGCCCCGGCUAACUCCGUG